UUGUAAGUUUGGUGACAAAUUCGCAUUUCAAACAUCUUAAUCAAUGUUUUGCAGAUAUGUGACAAUAAAAUGAAAAUACGUUAUGUGAAUGCUCAGUUUCCUGGCAGCAAUCAUGACUGUCACAUAUGGAAAUUUAUUUCUCCGUUAGCACAAACCUGUCGUACAAAAAUUCCGCUAAACUUAAAAAUUUUCCGUUCCGAGUGAAUUCAGUGAAUGCAACUCUACGAACUUCGAACUUACUUUCGGAACUGUUCGAAUUGCAUGAUAGCAGUUUCGUAACUUUCCCGAAAAAACACUCUACGAUGGAUUGCUUGAUAGGGUUGACUAUAUAGUGGUUAUUUAUUAUAUGGAGAAACUAUUUAAAUACUUUUAUAAUAUAUUAGAACAACUGAUUUUUGACCUUUCAAUACCCAAUAUAAGGAUUUAAGCUUGUUAGCUCUCAAUCAUAAAAUGUUUUUAAUCAUUUUCCAUUGAAAAUAAUACUGUGAUGCAUCAAAUUACAAACCGUUUUAUCAAAAAGCUUUUAAUUUCACAAAUUUAUUUAAUUUUCAUUGUUUUACAUUUUUUAGAAGUGGUCUUGAACGAUGCAACAAAUCCCUCCGUUUACAAAUUUUUUUUGAAAAUGGGGCUAUCCAAGUAUCUACCUAGCGAUUGGCGUCUCUUCUUGGACAGUACCAAGAGAAGUUUGAAGUUCGUCUUAUUGAACAAUGGCAAUGUGUAUGCAUCAAUUCCAAUUGCGCACUCCACAACAAUUAAAGAAGAAUAUAACAACAUUGCAUUAGUGAUGAAAAAGAUAAAAUACCAAGACCACCAAUGGUUCAUUUAUGUUGAUCUUAGAAUGGUCAAUUUUCUUCUUGGACAACAGAGUGGUUAUACUAAGUACCCUUGCUUUUUGUGUCUCUGGGAUAGCAGAUCCAAGCAACAACAUUGGCGGCAAAAAUAUUGGCCUACGAGAGAAAAAAUGAUUGUUUGCGAUAAAAAUAUUGUAAACUAAGCUUUAGUUCCACGUGAAAAGAUCGUCCUACCGCUGUUGCACAUCAAAUUAGGACUCAUUAAUCAGUUUGUUAAGGCUCUGAAUCGCGUUGGGGAAUGUUUUGCAUAUAUUUGCAGUAAAAUGCCUUAUCUAAGUAGAGAUAAGAUUAUAGCAGGAGUUUUUGACGGUCCCCAAAUAAGGCAGUUUAUGAAUGACAACGAUUUUGAUAAGUCAGUGACCGAAACUGAACGAAAUGCGUGAGCAUCAUUCGGGGAAGUUUUAAAAAAUUUCUUGGGAAAUAAUAAAGCUCCAAAUUAUGUUCAAUUAGUGGAGAAUAUGCUGCAUAAGUUCAGAGACCUUGGCUGCAACAUGAGUAUUAAAAUCUAUUAUUUGCACAGUCACUUGGACCGAUUUCCCGAAAAUUUGGGUAAUUUAAGCGAAGAACAAGGAGAAAGGUUUUACCAAGAUAUCAAAAUUAUGGAGACUCGGUACCAGGGAAGGUGGGAUACACAUAUGAUAGCAGACUACUGUUGGAAUUUGCAAAGAGACUCUGAUCCGGCUGUUCAUUCCAGAUUGUCUCUUAAAAGAAGCUUUAGAUUCUGUAAUUAGAAUUAUAUAUACAUAUAUAUAUUAUAUUUUUAAUGCUUUGUGAAGUUUUUUUUAUUUUAAUAAAUCUGUGUGAAAUAGUUUUACCCCUUUUUAUUUUUUUUAUAUUCCUAUGGAAAAGUUUUACUUUUUAAAUACUUAAAAAAUUUGGGCAUUUUUUUGGCAAUAACUAUAACAGCAAAUAAAAAAAUUUUGAUAAAAAAAA